ensembl:snoRNA SNORA53 small nucleolar RNA, H/ACA box 53
AACAUGCUCCUUAGAUCCAUCUUUGUGGAUAUCUCUUGGGCUGAGUUCUGUUUGGUAACUCUCGGUUUCUGGCAGUUCCAGUCAAGUGAUAUUCGGCAACUUUUUUGGUUGUACAGUCAAAGGUGCUUGAGUCAUUGGCAUGUGAGAGCAAUAUACCUGCAUGUUAGUCUCCAGUGUUCUGAUAGAAGUGACUGUAGUUCUACAUGUCGUUUCUCACUAUCAGGACUUGGCUGGUAUGCAGACACA